rnacentral:rRNA from 1 species
GACGAACGCUGGCGGCGUGCUUAACACAUGCCAGUCGAACGGAAAGGCCCUGCUUUUGUGGGGUGCUCGAGUGGCGAACUGGUGAGUAACACGUGAGUAACCUGCCCUUGACUUUGGGAUAACUUCAGGAAACUGGGGCUAAUACCGGAUAGGAGCUCCUGCUGCAUGGUGGGGGUUGGAAAGUUUCGGCGGUUGGGGAUGGACUCGCGGCUUAUCAGCUUGUUGGUGGGGUAGUGGCUUACCAAGGCUUUGACGGGUAGCCGGCCUGAGAGGGUGGCCGGCCACAUUGGGACUGAGAUACGGCCCAGACUCCUACGGGAGGCAGCAGUGGGGAAUAUUGCACAAUGGGCGGAAGCCUGAUGCAGCAACGCCGCGUGCGGGAUGACGGCCUUCGGGUUGUAAACCGCUUUCGCCUGUGACGAAGCGUGAGUGACGGUAAUGGGUAAAGAAGCACCGGCUAACUACGUG